GGGUGAAGCAGCGGGGAUCGGACCUGCGUAGGGAUGCCGGGAUGGAGCAUGACCGCGCGUCCUCCGUGGAGCUAUGGCCUCUUCUCGGUAAAAUGCCCUGUAGAUGUCACCAAAUCUCCGUGCACGAACCCGCGCUUGCGUCCUGUUUAUCCCUGGCAGCUGGACCACUGCGGAUGCUGCCCCGGUCCGGCUGAAAUGAUGCUGCGAUCGGGCCCCGAUUCCUGGGCCGAGCUGGUGGUACCGGUGGCAUGGACAUCGAUGCUGAUGGAGAGCAGUUCCAGCCCUUGUGGGGAGCCAGGACCCGCUUCUUGGCCCUGCCCGGGGCCUCUCGUCCCUGCACGUGGCUUUGGGGACCAUCCCUGCAGUGGGACAAAUCCAGGAGAGCCGGGAACGGAAACGGCGGAGCUGCUCACGGGGCUGCUCCUUCGCCUGCUGCAGGACUGGAUGCUCCUUUCCGUGAACGAUCCGACACCUUCGGCAGCUCCCACAGGAGUGUUUGGAGGCAAAGGGUGUCCCAGGCUUUGUGGGUAGCUCAGCAAAGACAUUGCUGUCACGGCUUUCUUGUUAACUCCUUUCUAUGAACAUGAUCCCACCACACCGGCCCAACUUCUGAGAAGCUUGGAUGUAAAUUUUGGCUGGAGGUCGAGCGAAAAAGAACUGGAGCUGGGACAGAAGGGGAGAGCAAAGUGGGAGUGAUUAGUAUUUUAAAACUGCUCCACUGCCUGGCUCUUGGGUUUACCAAGAUACCUCGGGAGCUAUUUGAGCUACUGUCAGUUGAUGCGAUGUCCCGUGUCAGCAUGAGGUCACAGCGUCAUUCCACAUGGGUUCAUGUCCUGGGGGCUUCUGGCUCCAUCUCUGCUCCAGUGUCUUGGAGAUCACCUUUUAACACGGAUAGUGAAUGUCUUUGCAGGCUAAAAGGAGUUGACCGAGAUCGUCACAUCCUGCAUCAGGAAGUUCCACAGGCGAUGGGGAAAAAAGAAAUUAAACCAGAGCCUUUCUACCUUCACAGCUGGCCAGAUACGAUCAUCAGGACAGCCUCGUGUAGCCGCUGCUAUAGCGAAGCUCUUGACCGCAAAGUCAAACAGUAGCUGCUUUCUAAAUGGCAUGUUCUUCCAGUUGUGGCUCUUGUCACUUGGGCAUGUAAACAUUUUUCACUCCUUGCCACCCCCUGGCAGCCUGGCUUUGCGAGGAAGCCAGAGUAAAUUUUGCUCAUGUGUGGUCCCGUAUGCUCCGAUUGCUUUGAUUUGGCUGUAAUUGUCGUGAUUCACUCUAACAAAACAAAGUCCCCUGUUAGUGAUUGCUACCUUGUUUUUGAAACUGGAAAUCAGGCCACCACCUAGUGUGCUUAUUAUAUGGCAUGGAAAAUGGAGAUGUUUUCGAGUAAUCUGGCAAGGAUCCUGAUGAGCUGUUAAGAGUCCUCCAGAAAGAACAGAAGAGGAAUUUCCAUGUGCAAAUGGCCCAUUUUCAUGCUGACUUUUCAUUUCUAUUUGUGGCCAGCACUAGGUGUUGCUAAUCGAAAGCCAGAAUUGGA
rnacentral:lncRNA from 1 species